rnacentral:rRNA from 1 species
GGAAGGAUCAGUCCCAAUGACGCAAGCCGACGUCGCCGGAUGCGGCCCAUCGCCGCUCGGUGUGUGUUGGGGAGGCCGUCGUGUCAAAAGCGACGGUUUCUAAUCCCUCCUUGUGGCCUCUGGCCACGUUAAUCGGCGCGAGGGCUCAUGCCCCGCCCCGCGCUUCAGACGUUCGAGUCGGGUCUGGAGCGCGUGUCCCUACCGAACAGUCAUUAAAUACAUGGGACCUCACUCGUCGCUGGGAUGCCACGUACCGCACGUUGGCGUAAGACCCGCGAGGCCACGGCCACAUCGUCGAUACAACUAUCAUGAUCAUACAGUUAAUUACAACUGGUAGCGUUGGAUCCCUCGGCAUGGCUAUCGAUGAAGAACGCGGCCAGCUGCGAAAUGUGAUGUGAAUUGCAACUCAAAGCGGUUAUCGUGAAUCAUUGACUAUUUGAACGCAUUGCACCGCCCUUAUGGGAGUGGUACGCCCGAUUGAGAAUCAUAAUCACCUUCAGGUCGGGACACUUUGCCGUUCGGUCGGCAGAUGCAUUCGUGCUGCAACCCGCCUCAUGGAGGCGGCAGAGGCACGUCUGUGUUGGGGUCUCGAUGCUGGCUUCGGGGCUGCACGGCGCUUGUGAGCGUCGCGUGCCUUGAGAUGCAUUAGUGGCCACUGCGAGAGCGAGUUGGACUCUGUGUAAUGAUCGUUUCACGCAGAGGAGCGCUCCGGCGCACUUGCCGCUCGUGGUGUCGCUUCAAACUUGCCCCAGGGCAGACCGCAAUGGCUUUUUGGUCGGCGCACAUCUUUGAACUGGUCUCAGUUGGGUGGGAUGACCCGCUUGAUUUAAGCAUAUUAUUCAGCGGAGGAAAAGAAACUAACAAGGAUUCCCCCAGUAACGGCGAGUGAAGAGGGAAGAAGCUCAAAGUGUGAAUCUGGCUUGG